GAAAAGAAACCAACAGGGAUUGCCUUAGUAACGGCGAGUGAAGCGGCAACAGCUCAAAUUUGAAAUCUGGCUUCGGCCCGAGUUGUAAUUUGUAGAGGAUGUUUAUGGUGCGGUACCUUCCGAGUUCCCUGGAACGGGACGCCACAGAGGGUGAGAGCCCCGUCUGGUUGGAUACCAAACCUGUGUUAAACUCCUUCAACGAGUCGAGUAGUUUGGGAAUGCUGCUCUAAAUGGGAGGUAAAUCUCUUCUAAAGCUAAAUACCGGCCAGAGACCGAUAGCGCACAAGUAGAGUGAUCGAAAGAUGAAAAGCACCUUGAAAAGGGGGUUAAACAGUACGUGAAAUUGUUGAAAGGGAAGCGUUUAUGACCAGACUUGUGCCGUGUGGCUCAUCCGAGGUUCUCCCCGGUGCACUCCACACGGUUCAGGCCAACAUCGGUUUUCGCCGGGGGAUAAGAACAGUAGGAACGUAGCUCCCCUCGGGGAGUGUUAUAGCCUAUUGUACGAUACCCUGGCGGGGACCGAGGACCGCGCUUCGGCUAGGAUGUUGGCGUAAUGGUCAUUAGCGACCCGUCUUGAAACACGGACCAAGGAGUCGUCCAUUAGAGCGAGCGUUUGGGUGUAAAACCCGCACGCGUAAUGAAAGUGAAAUUAGGUGAGAGCUUCGGCGCAUCAUCGACCGAUCCUGAAGUUUACGGAUGGAUUUGAGUAAGAGUUUUAACGGACGGACCCGAAAGACAGUGAACUAUGCUUGAAUAGGGUGAAGCCAGAGGAAACUCUGGUGGAGGCUCGCAGCGGUUCUGACGUGCAAAUCGAUCGUCAAAUUUGAGCAUGGGGGCGAAAGACUAAUCGAACUGUCUAGUAGCUGGUUACCGCCGAAGUUUCCCUCAGGAUAGCAGUGUUGACCUUCAGUUUUAUGAGGUAAAGCGAAUGAUUAGGGACUCGGGGGCGCUUAUUAGCCUUCAUCCAUUCUCAAACUUUAAAUAUGUAAGAAGCCCUUGUUACUUAAUUGAACGUGGGCAUUCGAAUGUACCAACACUAGUGGGCCAUUUUUGGUAAGCAGAACUGGCGAUGCGGGAUGAACCGAACGGGGGGUUAAGGCGCCAGAAUGUACGCUCAUCAGACACCACAAAAGGCGUUAGUACAUCUUGACAGCAGGACGGUGGCCAUGGAAGUCGGAAUCCGCUAAGGACUGUGUAACAACUCACCUGCCGAAUGUACUAGCCCUGAAAAUGGAUGGCGCUCAAGCGUACUGCCCAUACCCCCCCUUCAGGGUAGAAACGAUGCCCUGAAGAGUAGGCGGCCGUGGAGGUUGUGACGAAGCCUAGGGCGUGAGCCCGGGUCGAACAGCCUCUAG
rnacentral:rRNA from 1 species